CCUACGGGGGGCUGCAGUGAGGAAUAUUGGUCAAUGGGCGGAAGCCUGAACCAGCCAUGCCGCGUGCAGGAAGACGGCCCUACGGGUUGUAAACUGCUUUUCCGGGGGAAGAAUAAGGCCGACGUGUCGGCCGAUGCCGGUACCCCGGGAAUAAGGAUCGGCUAACUCCGUGCCAGCAGCCGCGGUAAUACGGAGGAUCCGAGCGUUAUCCGGAUUUACUGGGUUUAAGGGGUGCGUAGGCGGGCGCUUUGAAAUACGGGGGAUAAACCUUCGAACGGCCGUGGAUACUGGGCGCAUUGGAGUCGGUCGAGGCGGGCGGAAUGCGACAUGUAGCGGUGAAAUGCUUAGAUAUGUCGCAGAACGCCGAUUGCGAAGGCAGCUCGCCAGGCCGACAUUGACGCUGAGGCACGAAAGCGUGGGGAUCGAACAGGAUUAGAUACCCGAGUAGUC
rnacentral:rRNA from 1 species